ensembl:lncRNA
GUAAUGUCAGGGGGUGGAUGUAAUGUCAGGGGGUGGAUGUAAUGUUGGGGUGGAUGUAAUGUCAGGGGGUGGAUGUAAUGUUGAGUAUGAGUGUGUGUGUGUGUGUGUGUGUGUGUGUGUGUCUGUGUGUGUGUGUGUGUGUGUGUGUGUGUAUGUAUCUGUGUGGGUUGGGGUUGGUGUCAGUCCAGUCUCUGAGUAUUGAUUAGUCUCAUGGCUUGGGGGAAGAAGCUGUUACACAGUCUGGCAGUGAGGCCUGAAUGCUUCGGUACCUUUUGCCAGACGGCAGGAGGAUGAAGAGUUUGUGUGGCGGUG